CACGUAGGGAGCAAGCGUUGUCCGGAUUUAUUGGGCGUAAAGAGCUCGUAGGUGGUUCGGUAAGUCAGGUGUGAAACCUCCAGGCUCAACCUGGAGACGCCACUUGAUACUGCUGUGACUGGAGUCCGGUAGGGGAGCGUGGAAUUCCUGAUGUAGCGGUGAAAUGCGCAGAUAUCAGGAGGAACACCAGCGGCGAAGGCGGCGCUCUGGGCCGGUACUGACACUGAGGAGCGAAAGCGUGGGUAGCAAACAGG
rnacentral:rRNA from 1 species